GAUGAACGCUGGCUGCGUGUCUAAUACAUGCUAGUCGAGCGAACAGACGAGGAGCUUGCUCCUCUGACGUUAGCGGCUGACGGGUGAGUAACACGUGGAUAACCGACCUAUAAGACUGGUAUAACUUCGGGAAACCGGAGCUAAUACCGGAUAAUAUAUUGAACCGCAUGGUUCAAUAGUGAAAGACGGUUUUGCUGGCACGUAUAGAUUGAUCCGCGCCGCAUUAGCUAGUUGGUAAGGUAACGGCUUACCAAGGCAACGAUGCGUAGCCGACCUGAGAGGGUGAUCGGCCACACUGGAACUGAGACACGGUCCAGACUCCUACGGGAGGCAGCAGUAGGGAAUCUUCCGCAAUGGGCGAAAGCUUGACGGAGCAACGCCGCGUGAGUGAUGAAGGUCUUCGGAUCGUAAAACUCUGUUAUUAGGGAAGAACAAAUGUGUAAGUAACUAUGCACGUCUUGAGGGUACCUAAUCAGAGAGCCACGGCUAACUACGUG
rnacentral:rRNA from 1 species